rnacentral:rRNA from 1 species
CCUACGGGUGGCAGCAGUGAGGAAUAUUGGGCAAUGGACGCAAGUCUGACCCAGCAACGCCGCGUGCAGGAAGACGGCUUUCGGGGUGUAAAAUUCUUUUCUCAGGGACGAAACAUGUGACGGUACCUGAGGAAUAAGCCACGGCUAACUACGUGCAAGCAGCCGCGGUAAUACGUAGGGGGCAAGCGUUAUCCGGAUUUAGUGGGUGUAAGGGGCGUGUAGGCGGCACUGCAAGUCAGAUGUGAAAUUCACGGGCUCAACCGGUGCCCUGCAUUUGAAACUGGAGUUCUUGAGUACUGGAGAGGCAGACGGAAUUCGUGGUGUAGCGGUGAAAUGCGUAGAUAUUAGGAGGAACACCAGUGGCGAAGGCGGUCUGCUGUACCGCAACUGACGCUGAGGCGCGAAGGCGUGGGGAGCAAACAGGAUUAGAUACCCGUGUAGUC